AUUGAACGCUGGCGGCAUGCUUUACACAUGCAAGUCGAACGGCAGCGGGGUAGUGCUUGCACUACUGUCCGGCGAGUGGCGAACGGGUGAGUAAUAUAUCGGAACGUACCGAGUAAUGGGGGAUAACCAAUCGAAAGAUUGGCUAAUACCGCAUACGUCCUGAGGGAGAAAGCGGGGGAUCGCAAGACCUCGCGUUAUUCGAGCGGCCGAUAACUGAUUAGCUAGUUGGUGGGGUAAAGGCCUACCAAGGCGACGAUCAGUAGCGGGUCUGAGAGGACGAUCCGCCACACUGGGACUGAGACACGGCCCAGACUCCUACGGGAGGCAGCAGUGGGGAAUAUUGCGCAAUGGGGGGAACCUUGACGCAGCCAUGCCGCGUGAAUGAAGAAGGCCUUCGGGUUGUAAAGUUCUUUCGGUAUUGAGGAAGGUUGAUGUGUUAAUAGUACAUCAAAUUGACGUUAAAUACAGAAGAAGCACCGGCUAACUCCGUGCCAGCAGCCGCGGUAAUACGGAGGGUGCGAGCGUUAAUCGGAAUAACUGGGCGUAAAGGGCACGCAGGCGGUUAUUUAAGUGAGGUGUGAAAGCCCCGGGCUUAACCUGGGAAUUGCAUUUCAGACUGGGUAACUAGAGUACUUUAGGGAGGGGUAGAAUUCCACGUGUAGCGGUGAAAUGCGUAGAGAUGUGGAGGAAUACCGAAGGCGAAGGCAGCCCCUUGGGAAUGUACUGACGCUCAUGUGCGAAAGCGUGGGGAGCAAACAGG
rnacentral:rRNA from 1 species